rnacentral:rRNA from 1 species
AGAGUUUGAUCCUGGCUCAGAAUGAACGUUGCGGCGUGGAUUAGGCAUGCAAGUCGAGCGAGAACCCCGCAAGGGGGGACAGCGGCAAACGGGGUAGUAAUGUGUCGGAACGUGCCCUCAGGUCGGGGAUAGCGGCGGGAAACUGCCGGUAAUACCCGAUGACCUCGAGAGAGCAAAGGUGUGACUCCGCCGGAGGAGCGGCCGACAUGGUAUUAGCUAGUUGGUAGGGUAAUGGCCUACCAAGGCGAUGAUGCCUAGGGGGUGUGAGAGCAUGGCCCCCACCAUUGGGACUGAGACACUGCCCAGACACCUACGGGUGGCUGCAGUCGAGAAUCUUCGUCAAUGGGCGAAAGCCUGAACGAGCGACGCCGCGUGCGGGAUGAAGGCCUUUGGGUCGUAAACCGCUGUCGAGGGGGAUGAAGGCAUUCAGGUACUCCUGAAUGUUUGACAGGGCCCUGGAGGAAGCACGGGCUAAAUUCGUGCCAGCAGCCGCGGUAAUACGAACUGUGCGAACGUUAUUCGGAAUCACUGGGCUUACAGGGUGCGUAGGCGGCUUUGCAAGUCAGGUGUGAAAGCCCCCGGCUCAACCGGGGAAUUGCGCUUGAAACUGCAGGGCUCGAGUCAGCUAGAGGUGCAC